rnacentral:rRNA from 1 species
UACGGGGGGGGCAAGCGUUGUUCGGAAUUACUGGGCGUAAAGGGCUCGUAGGUGGCCAACUAAGUCAGACGUGAAAUCCCUCGGCUUAACCGGGGAACUGCGUCUGAUACUGGAUGGCUUGAGUUUGGGAGAGGGAUGCGGAAUUCCAGGUGUAGCGGUGAAAUGCGCAGAUAUCGGGAGGAACACCGGUGGCGAAGGCGGCUCUCUGGGCCUGUCCUGACGCUCAGGCGCGAAAGCUAGGGGAGCAAACAGG